GGAUGCGAUGAUACCAGCACUAAAGCACCGGAUCCCAUCAGAACUCCGAAGUUAAGCGUGCUUGGGCGAGAGUAGUACUAGGAUGGGUGACCUCCUGGGAAGUCCUCGUGUUGCAUUCC
rnacentral:rRNA from 1 species